CCUACGAGUGGCAGCAGUGGGGAAUAUUGCACAAUGGGGGAAACCCUGAUGCAGCGACGCCGCGGGAGUGAAGAAGUAUUUCGGUAGGUAAAGCUCUAGCAGCAGGGAAGAAAAUGACGGUACCUGAUUAAGAAGCCCCGGCUAACUACGUGCCAGCAGCCGCGGUAAUACGUAGGGGGCAAGCGUUAUCCGGAUUUACUGGGUGUAAAGGGGGCGAAGACGGCAGCGAAAGUAUGAAGUGAAAUGCCGGGGCUUAACCCCGGAACUGCUUUGGAAACUGUGCAGCUAGAGUGCAGGAGAGGUAAGUGGAAUUCCUAGUGUAGCGGUGCAUGGCGGAGAUAUUAGGAGGAACACCAGUGGCGAAGGCGGCUUACUGGACUGUAACUGACGUUGAGGCUCGAAAGCGUGGGGAGCAAACAGGAUUAGAUACCCCUGUAGUC
rnacentral:rRNA from 1 species